CAGGAGGUGAGAAUAUCAUUUGAAAGUGUUUCGAAAAUGCUUUUCUUUCUUUUCAGGUAGAUAAUGUGGCUAGUUUUCUCCCCUUCAUGGACCCACAACGGCCGUCCCUGUUGUCUGUGAGGAACAGGGAGAAAUCAAAGCUUGAUCUCUGUGAGCUCACUGAGGCCAAAUCGACCAAACAGACUCCACUCAAAUACCUGAAGAGCCUGAAAAGGCGAACAACAGACUGAAGUUACGGACACAGGACAGAGAUGUCCAUCGGACACCUCCAUCGGACUUAACAGCUGACGAUUUUGCGUCGUUCUUUGUAAAGAAAACGACCGCCAUCAGCAAUCAAUUCUCUGCACCACUGCCUCUUGACCACGCCCAAUCCCCAGACACAUGCUCGCUCCCCUCGUUCUCUCUCGUAUCUGAAGAGGACGUUUCCAAAGUCAUUUCUUCGAACCACCCGACUACCUGCCCCCCUAGAUCCCAUCCCCACUCAUCUCCUCCAGGCCAUUUCCCCAUCGGUUGUUCCCUCUCUGACCCACAUUAUCAACUCAUCUCUCACCACUGGUACAUUUCCUACACUCUUCAAAGAGGCCCGUAUUACCCCACUACUAAAAAAACCUUCUCUUAAUCCUGCAGUGUUAGAAAACUACAGACCGGAAUCCCUCCCCCCCUUUGUUGCGAAAACUCUAGAACAUGUUGUAUGUAACCAGCUCUCAUCCUUUCUCACCCAGAACAACCUCCAAGACAGCAACCAGUCUGGUUUCAAGAGCGGUCAUUCCACUGAAACUGCGCUGCUCUCUGUCAUUGAAGCCCUAAGACUGGAAAGAGCUUCCUCUAACUCAUCUGUUCUCAUCCUACUGGAUCUAUCUGCCGCCUUUGACACCGUUAACCAUCACAUUCUCCUGUCCACCCUCAAGACUAAGGGGGUCUCCAGAAUGGUUCUACAAUGGUUCAAGUCUUACCUCUCGGACGAAAAGAUUCUGCACGCAUCUCAGCUUGCCUAGCCGACAUCCCGCUCUGGAUGAAUGACCAUCACCUGCAGCUGAAAGUUUCAAUGACAGAACUGCUUGCAAUCCCGGCCGAUACAAAGACUCAUCACAGCCUCUCCAUUCAACUUGGCUCAUCAACCAUCACAUCUUCCAGAAAGGCAAGAAACCUGGGAGUGGUGAUCGAUGAUCAGCUCAACUUCACAGAUCAAAUUGCUAGCACCGCCCGGUCCUGUAGAUUCAUCCUCUACAAUAUUAGGAAAAUUAGACCCUUCCUAUCAGAGCAUGCUACGCAAGUCCUAGUACAGGCUCUGGUCCUGUCCAGACUGGACUACUGCAAUGCGCUACUGGGUGGACUUCCAGCUUGCACAACCAAACCUCUACAGGUGAUCCAGAAUGCUGCGGCAAGAGUUAUCUUUAAUGAACCGAAGAGAGCACACGUCACUCCUCUAUUCAUUAAGCUACAUUGGCUCCCUAUAGUCGCUCGCAUAAAAUUCAAGAUUCUGCUACUGGCCUACAAGACCACCACUGGUUCGGCACCACCCUAUCUUCGCUCGCUACUGCAGACAUAUGUACCCGCCAGAUCCCUACACUCUGCAAACGAACUGCGUCUUGUGGUCCCAUCCCAAAAAGAGUCAAUCAGAGGACUUAACACUGGUAGUAAGAGGGAGAGGAAGAGGGCGGAGAGGUUAGGGGUGUUGGAGAUGCAGGCAGGGCGAGGAGAGGCAGAGGAGCUAACGUUACCCGGGAGGACCGCACAAGAGAGGAUGUGGAAGCUAAGCAGUAUUAUGAUAUAACUUACACCCGAUUUAUGCAAAUUAUGAUUGUAAACAUGAUUUCUAACUUGAUUUCCAGACGGCCAUGCAACACGGACUUAUGAUACAAUUACAAAGUGCUAAAAAUUUACAAGGAAAAACGCUACUUCACUUGAUGAUCAGCUCAUCUAUUAGCUAAAGCUAUCAAAGGAUUUUGCCAAUCCUUCUAUGUAGUGGCUUUGCAAGCUGCCUCCAAAACACAGCCGAAGAAGAAGAACAUAGUCCCGUGCAUCCUUCGUUUUACAAAACGCGCUCAGUUUGUCCAUGUAGUGCUACUAUGGAAACAUUGCCGUGCAAUUUGAUAAAUUACAUGUAAGGGUGUCCCUGCGGUGUAUAUACAUAAAAUCGCUCAUUGUAAGGUAAUAUAAACAUUUCGGUUCAUUUUUUAAGGUAUUUCUUCACCACACACAACAUAGUUUUGUAUUAUAUAUUACAUUUUGGUAAAUAAAUCCUUCAAAAGUCUAGACACUGUACCUUUAAAUGCGUGUCAUGACUUAAACUCUUGUCAUUCUUUCUCCAGCACCACACGGUCAACACAGACCUCAUGCACAGCAAAGAGCUGCCGUACAUCGAGCACAUCGGGUCUCUGCAGAAAGUUACGUGAAAUUGGUCAGCAAGGAAAUCGUCCAGAAGAGGUAAGCAUCUGCCCUCCUCGUGUACCGACCGACGAGUGUCAAGACCUGCGACUCUUCCAGCGCGACUCCACCAAGCUAAGACACCAGCAAGGCUCAUCAGUAUAUUUAAAGGGCUCACCGGUUUCCCCCGUGGCCAUUCGCGAAGCCCCUCCGGUCCCUGUUGGUCCGGUCACGACCGCAUUCGGGAGAGAGAACCGAGACCUAAGACCAAAAAGGAGGUAAGACAGUUUCUGGGGCUGGCGGGAUAUUACAGGCGCUUUGUACCUAACCAUUUGGACCUCACCAGCCUGCUUACUGAUCUUACUAAAAAGGACGCAGCAGAUACCCUCCAGUGGACGGAGCAGUGCCAGCAGGCGUUUACACAAGUGACGGCUGCCCUGUGUGGUGGGCCGCUCUUACACUCUCCUGACUUUUCUCUCCCUUUUCUGUUGCAGACUGACACGUCGGAUAGGGGGCUGGGUGCCAACCUGGCCCAGGAGGUAGGGUCCGGUACUGUUCAUUAGUCGUAAGCUCUCAAAGAGAGAGACAUAGAAAAAGAGUGUUUGAGAGACCAGAUAAAAGGAGGAAAACAACACACAGAGGGAGACAGACUCACAGACUGAACAAGGGAGAUCUAAGAGGGAGUGAUCGCUGACUGGAACUAAAACUGGACUACUGAUCCGAGACAAAAGAAUCUUACGGUGUGCUGGGGAAUUCGCCACAGAUUUACUUUGCUAUUUUGGAAUCUCUUUUUGUUUUACAAAUGUUUAAUAAAAACUUGUGUCAGGCUCGCCAAUCUUGUCCUCUUCCUUACCCACAAGCUGAACCUUAUUACACAGCGUUCUAAACAUACGUCAUGUUAAAGCAAUGCACAGUCCUGUCUUUUAAUUAAAGAGAAGCAUUAGUAUCAAGUAAGGCUUAGUGGAUGAGAUCCAUAUCUGCUUGGUGCCCAUCCUAUGAGGCCCAUAGCCUUUGUUAAAAUCAGAGAAGUACAUGAACUUCUAUAACUAUCUUAAAUGUAUGCUUUUAUAUAAGAAGAAAAAUAUUUAGAAAAUUUAAAUGUAGUCUUUUAUAUAAGAAAACUCAGUCAUAUACUAAGAAGAAACCCCAUAACCCCAUUAGUUCUAUACAAAGAUGUGUUGUGUUUGCUUUACACCAGCAGGUAUCAUCACUAAAGAUCAAUCAUCACUUGUAAAGUCAACUCAAUUGAUUCAUUAACUUCAUGAACUUUUCACACCAGAAAGACUCUGCCUAGUGGUGAACAAACUAACACUGAAGCACAGACUCAUAUAAACAGGGACAUUGCUGUACAUGAAGCACAUACAUAAAUAACAACAUUAAAAACAAAUAACUUACAAAUAAUUUGUACUUAAAUAUGCGGUAAGUGACUUAUUUAUUGUGCUAAAUGUACAUUAUGUAUAUGUGGUAUAGUAUAUUAUGUUUUUGAAUGACACGAAGAUGAGUAAAAGAUGUUUGAAUCAAACGCAAAACUCAAAGUGAAGAUGAAGAUGAAGUGACAGUCUCAUCAAUCGUUUCAGCGCGACUCUCGCUUCUGAUUGGCUGCUUUGUGUUCUAAGCGACGUCAUUAAAGCCUCGAGCGUCCACAGCCGGAUGUUAUCAGUGCAAACAGUUCUGUCAGUGACCAGUUCACUCCUCGAGUUUGUCUCGCUUACAUCUUUACUUUAAUACGAUUGAGAAUCUGUGUUCGCUGUCUGAUCUGUGUCAGAUCUCACAUCAGUAGAAGAGCUCAGAGCAGCGCGAGGUGAGUGAUCAACAUGACUUAGGUAUGAUGACAAAAUUUCCAAACACCCCUAAGCUUAAAAUGGAUCACAUGACUAGACAGAGCUGAAAAUUCGCUUUACGACGACACCUGAAUUGUGAAAAUCAGUUGAGGAUUGCGAAAGUUAUGAUAUUUAUAAUACCGAGGAAUAUAGUCAAAUAGUAAACAUUAACUACAAUAGAAGUCGUGUGACCGAAAAUGCUUAUUAUUCACACGUUUUUGCUUGUAACUUCCUUAUUUGCAUGAAAUUUGUAUAGAAGGUAGAAUUGUGUUCGUUCUUUCAAAUGAAAUCAUGAAAAUGUACUGUUUUAGGUGGAAUGGGCAUCAGAUCCAUGGUACCUCACUGAAAACAGUUAUAAUUAAUAAGCGUUCAUUCAUAUUCAUAAACAUUUAUUUUCAGAAAACAACAAUACACAUCAAUAUUAAUUGUUAAUUCAUAUUCAUACAAGAACACAACAAAUAUUCAUUCUCUCCAGGAGGUGCUGUCUGGCUAGAUCUGGCUGUGUGUUGGGCCCCUUUCUCCUUUUCAUAAUUAGCUGUAAAGACAUAACAUCAAUUAUUAGGCCCCUCAACUGUACAUACAUUGAUUAACACUGGAUUUCUCUAACAUAAGCAGCACCAGAAGCCUUAUAAACACGGAGAAUCAUUUUACAUGUUUGUUAAUCUACAUAAUCUACAUGAUUAAAGAAAGAUGGACAUAAAA